rnacentral:lncRNA from 1 species
UGACUAUUUCAAAGGUUUUGCUGUCUGUUUAUUCCCUUUUGACAGACUGCAACCCUGCGGAUCCUCUGAUUGGAAGCAUAGCCACUCAGUAUUUAACCACCGAGCAGAACACGACAGGGUAGCCAGACAGUGGACCUAGAGAUACGCAACAAAAUUCACAUCGUUUGUAUGCAGUGUGAAGGAGCUGAAGGCUUCUUACUGUGCUGCAAAUCUUUAUAGCCUUCAAAAUACAGACUUCUGUGUAUAUGUUAUACUGAUUCUACUCUGCUUUUAUCCUUUGGAGCCUUGGAGACUCCCCAAAAAGCUCAGAGAGCACCUGAUGUAUCAUCUCAAACACAAUAAACAUGCUCCUGAAGGAAAAAAAAAAUAAAAGAAAGAAAGAAAAUGUGGUACAUAUCACCACGGAACACUAUGCAGCCAUAUAAAAGAAUGAGAUCAUGACCUUUGCAGGGACAUGGAUGGAGCCAGAGGCCAUUAUCCUUAGCAAACUAAUGCAGGAACAGAAAACCAAAUACCACAUGUUCUCACUUGUAAAUGGAAGCUAAAUAAUGAGAAGACAUGAACACAUAGAGGGGAACAACACACACUGGGGCCUACUGGAGAGCGGAGGGUGGGAGGAGGGAGAGGAUCAGGAAAAAUAACUAAUGGGUACUAGCCUUAAUACCUGGGUGAUGAAAUAAUCUGUACAACCCCCCAUGACACAAGUUUACCUAUAUAACAAACCUGCAUGUACCCCUGAACUUAAAAAUUAAAAAAAGGAAACACAAUUACAAAAAACGAGUAGUGUCUUUAAGUAACAAGACAAAGUGGAUAAAAUGCACAGAGUAAACCUAAAUCUUUCUUUCAAAACUUGCAGCUUUCACUGGGGAAAAAUACAGGGUGUCCGCCUCUGACACAUUAACUUAGCACCUUGGUUCUAACAUACUGAAACAAAUUUAGGGCUUCCUUACUAAGGACCUUGCUACUUUGAUUCCUCUCAAUAAUAGUAGGUAUUACUGACACAACUGGUCCAGAAGUUAUUCACGUCAGAGCCAGUAUAAUACUUUGGGUAUAUUCUCUUGCGUAGUAAAUCAUCUUUUAAUAUGUACCUUGGUCUAGAAUGGGGGACUGCAGUGCCAGUCUGAAACUAGAUUGAACCUGUCCACUGGCAAAAGACAAAGCACUCUUGUAAAGCUCUCUAGAUUUUUUGUCUGCUACAUCUUUACUUAAACGCUGUCAAUUGGUCUUUACAUCUGGGUAGUCUUCUGGGAUUUCUUUUGUCUCUUUUUUUUUUUUUUUUGAGAUGGAGUCUGGCUCUGUUGCUUAAGCUGGAGUGUCGUGGCGCUAUUUUGGCUCACUGCAACCUCCACUUCCCAGGUUCAAGUGACUCUCCUGCCUCAGUCUCCUGAGUAGCUGGGACUACAGGCGUGUGGCACCACACUCGGCUAUUUUUAAAUUAUUUUUUUAUUUUUAGUAGAGACAGGGUUUUGAUGGGUUUUGCUAUGUUAGCCAGGCUGGUCUUGAACUCCUGACCUCAGGUGAUCUGCGCUCCUUGGCCUCCCAAAGUGCUGGGAUUACAGGCAUGAGCCAUUGAGUCUGCUCGGAUUUUUGAUGCUCAUUUGUUUUAGGAUGGGUCGGUGGUGCAUGAAUCAGUUUUCUGUUUUGUUUUGAGACAAAGUCUUACUCUGUUGCCUAGGCUGGAGUGCAGUGGUGCCAUCAGAGCUCACUGUAACCCCUAGCUCCUGGGCUCAAGCAAUCCUCCCACCUCAGCCUCCUGAGUAGCUAGGACUACAGGUGCUCGCCCGCAUGACUGGCUAAUUUUGUAUGUUUUAUUUUUUUAACUCGGAAACCUAGUUGAUUGUAUGUUAUGGGCUGAAAUGUACUCCCUCAAAUUCAUUAGUGCUGACCCCUAGUACCUCAGAAUGUGACUACUGGAGAUAUCUCUUUAAAGAUUCUCAGAGUAGAUGACAGAGUGAGCCCCCAUCUUACAAAAAAAAAAAAAAAAAAAAAGGAAGAGAAAAUUUGGACAGAGAUACAGAAGGAAGACUAUGUGAAGGCACAGGGAGAAGAUGGCCAUCUAUAAGCCAUGGGAAAGCCGUUAGAAUAAACCAACCCUGCUGACAUGCCACCCAGUCUGUGGCAUUUUGUCAUGGCAGUUCUAGAAGAUUAAUGCAGAAAACAGUAAGAAAAGAGCUUCUGGCCGGGCACAGUGGCUCACGCCUUUAAUCCCAGCAUUUUGGGCGGCCAAGGCAGGUGGAUCACUUGAGGUAAGGAGUUCAAGACCAGUCUGGUCAACAUGGUGAAACCUUGUCUCUACUAAAAACACACAGAAAAAUUAGCCGGGCUUGGUGGUGCAUGCCUGUAAUCCCAGCUACUUGGGAGGCUGAGGCAGGAGAAUUGCUUGAACCCAGGCAGCAGAGGUUUCAGUGAGCCCAGAUCCUGCCACUACAUUCCAGCCUGAGUGACAAAGUGAGACACUGUCUCAAAAAAAAAAAAAAAAAAAAAGAAAAGAAAAAGAAAAAAGCUUCCUUUUCCACUUCUCCCUAGUUUGAAAUCCAUGAGGUAUUUAGAGCUAUGACAGCCAUGGAACAAUGAGGUGAAAAGAAUAAAGACACAAGCCAGCAUGCUAAAGACACAGAGAAGACAG